UGGUCUCGCCACGUGCAGUGUGUAUGGGGUGUACAUGUUGUCUCGGCCAGGUGCCAGUGUGUAGGGGGUCACAGUGGGUUCUCGGCCCAGGAGCAGUGUGUAUGGGGGUAACAGUGUGGUCUCGGCCCAGGUGCAGUGUGUAUGGGGGUACAGUGGGGUCUCGGCCCAGGAGCAGUGUGUAUUGGGGGUACAGUGUGGUCUCGGCCCAGGAGCAGUGUGUUUGGGGGA
rnacentral:lncRNA from 1 species